UCAGGUCUCGAUAGGUAAAUAGGCCCUACUUUGACCGCUUGUAUGCGUUAAUUUGAUUCUAAUUAAAUCCGCAUGUAAGCGGUUAAUUAUGAGCGAAUCGGGUAAAUAAAGAUGGCGGAUAAGGCUAAACGAAGAUUUACCUGAAAUAACGAGCUUAAUGGGAAAAGAUUACAGAAGAAUCUCGGGCUUAGCGAAGCCUCUUGUGGAAUGAAAAACAGAGGCCCUUCUUUAUGGAAGCUGUGUGUCUCAGAACGACAACAUAACCAAGCAUGCCUGUGAUAAGGAGUUUCAAGCACUUAAAGCCUGCAUAAGACAAGCAGCAAAGAAAAUUAAAGUGUAGAGACUUGAAAAGAGAGAACAACUGCACCUAUUGCAGGAAAGUUCUGAAACAGGACGUCACAGGCAACCUACUCACUUUUUGCGUGGGGUAACAAUAUUAUAAGAGGAGACAUUUAGGCUUGUGAAAACUGAUAAAAAGAAUGUCUCUGUCGGUAAAUAUAUAAAUACGGUAAACUGCUGCUUAUAAGUGCCCUCUCCUCCCCCCUCCCCUUUUUAUUUAUAAGUCCUCGGUUAAAGGCUCAUCUAACUUUAAACAAAACAAAAAAAAAGCAUCAAAUUAUAAGCUCCCCCCGAUAUAAGCCCUGUUCUAGCUUUUCUUGUUUCUACAAUACCAAAGUAGGAAAAGCCUCAGUGCUGUGACUUGGACAUAGAAAUUUUAAUGAUAGAAGAGCAAAGAUGAACUUUUGAGAGAAAAGUCUGUUUUCUCAGUUUUGCUACGUACCAGUUUUCUUCAUGUUGCUAGUUUUUAUUCUGUGCCAAAUGUAUUGAAACUAAUUUGAUUUAUUAUGACGUUUUGAAUCUUAAUGAAAAACGAGUAAAUAAAAAACGUAUUUUGAUCAGCACUGCACUAGCCUUUUCUAUUCCGGUUACACGUCCCCACGGCUAUAGGUCCCCUCUGUUAAUAAGCCCUCCUAAAACCCCUUACGAAGUUGUAUAACCCCUGAGCUUAUAAUCGGCAGGUUUGUUUGUGUUGUGGAACUUUAAGGAUUUGCCUCAGAAGGAAUGGUGCUAUUCUUAACUCAAAAUUUUGAUUCCGUUUUGAUUGACGUAUAAAAUCGAAUAGAGACGUCGGCGAGUUGGUCUUCAAUCCAGUACAACUUAUUAGA